GCGGGUACCGCUGCCCAUCGAAUCCUCGUCGGCCUCACUCGAGCCCUCGACAUUGCCCGCCUGACGGCCUUCUCCGUUGGGGCAAUUGAGGCUACCAGGGGCUUCAAGGCCGUGCCCUUCCACGAUGGGCUGGACGGUGCAGUGAGGGAGGCAGCGGCACUGUCAGAUGAGGCAGAGGUGCGGAUGGGGAAGAUCGGGUAGAAAGUGCCACAAAGAGACG
rnacentral:lncRNA from 1 species